rnacentral:lncRNA from 11 species
UGUUAUGCACACCUCUCUGGCGGAGGAUGGGCCUACUGCGGCUGCGCGGGGCCAAGACUCAGCAAGGCGGCGCGGAGGGAUACGGCAAGAUUGUCCCUUCCUUGUGCUGAACCGUAAGAGAGUGGGAGUGAGAAAGAAGUGUUUACAUUUCGCAGAAUGUUUUUUGGAAAAGGGGACCUUUUGGGGGCCAGCCCAGCUUUUCCGAGCAAUUGAAAGGAAAGAGGAGGGGGACUUUUUUUUGUCCUGGCGGAGGGACACGGGAAGGGCGCUGUGCUGCGUCACUGUAGUGGGCAGCUGAGGGCGCAACGCAGGCAGAAGGAGGGCGGAAGGCGAGGAGGGAGGAGCGGAGGACGGAGGAAGGUGGGCGGCCGGGAAGAUCUGCCUCCCGGGGCCCCGAGCGGGCCAUGGAGGCCUCGGGGGACGACGGCGGGGCGUCCGAGCUCCCCGAGGGGCCGCUCACCUCCACGCCCAAAGAGUCCCCGCCUACCUCCGAGCCUCCUUCGGAGCCCCCCCAACGGACUGGUUCAUCAACAUCCUUAAGUAGUAGUGAGAGUUCAGGAGAAGAAUGGCUUAUAAAGGUUUGCUGUCCAGGAGCACGGCAUCGAUAUCGUAGAUAUGCUAAACGCAAAAAACGAACGACAUCACAUCAAAAGGCAAGAAUAUCAGACAGUUUAGAUGCAGAUGUUUUAACAAAAGCAAGAGAAUGGAUGCCUAUUACAUCUUACAAGGUGCACCCGGGAGUGCCAAAACAAGAGAGCUUAGAUUUGCAGUGGCUUAUAAGACUUCGUUGUCCAAGGGCCCUAAUGGAAGAGAUGACACCAGAGGCCAAAGAGUCUCUUCCAACAGCCUCUACAUGCCUAAGCAGAUCAACAAGCAAGACAAGAAAUACUCAGCCUGAAAAGUCAAAAAUUUCAGAAAACUGGCAAACUCAGAAACGAUUUUCCAUUGCACAGGCUCUAGUUAAUGAAAGACAGGAUAUUGCUUCUACUCAAUCCCUAUUGGAUAGAGAAAACUGCUUUGUCAGGGAAGUAGACAGGUAUUUGAAGCACAGUGAUUUCUUAGCCUUAAGGAGGAAGGAAAUACUGCACAAGAAAUGGUUUGAGAAUGUUUCAAGACCACUACACCAGAAAAUUCAGGACAAAAUUGACAAGGAGUCAAGUGAAGAAAUAGAGGAAAGAAAACGAAAACAGCUCUCCCUUUACUUAAACUACUGUAAUAAGAAGGGUGUUGUAUCUUUAGACAACUAUAAUACUUCCUUUUAUGACCCUUUCUUCCUGAAGACUCCAGAUGCUUCCAAGGCUAAAAAUGAUCCCAACAAGAAACCAAACUUCUAUGGAUUUCAAAAGCUGGGGUGAUCCAUUCUGGGGUUCAGCAAACAAAAGAAUGAUGUCUGUCAGGAAACCAGAUUUUGGCCAUGCAUCCACUCCUAUGACAAAACAAAUACUGCUUGGUUCAUCAGGUUGUAAAACACCAAUAAAUUCUGCUUCCUAAUUACCAGUAUAUCUUUGACCUGGAUUCCUUACAUAAGUCAUAAAUGUGUCAUUCUCAGGAUGGCCAGGAGGAGCAAUCCACUACAACUGGGUUUGAUCCCCACACUCCUAAUAAGCUGCAACUGUCAUUUUCAAAACAGCUACCAUUUGGAAAUUGAAGGUUGGGUUGCUGACCUGAAGGCUGCCAGGUUCGAAUCCCACCCGGGGAGAGCGCGGAUGAACUCCCUCUAUCAGCUCCAGCUCCAUGUGGGGACAUGAGAGAAGACUCCCGCAAGGAUGGUAAAACAUCAAAACAUCCGGGCGUCCCCUUGGGCAACGUCCUUGCAGAUGGCCAAUUCUCUCACUCCAGAAGCAACUCCGGUUGCUCCUGACACAAAAAAUAAAAAAUAAAAAAAUAAAAUUGAAAAUAGAUCUAGGGCAAUGGCUCCAAAGUAGAGAAGAAUAUUGCAGUUAAGCAGCAACUGCCAUUUUGAAAAUAGCAGCUUGAAGGCAAUGGCUCCAGUGUGGAGAAGAACAUGGUUUCUCAAAAAUUUGAUCUAGGAAAAGGAAGAUCAAUGCAGAAGUGGUACAAACAAUAAUAAUAAUAAUAAUAAUAAUAAUAAUAAUAAUAAUAAUCAUAGAAUGAGGAUUUGCAUUCUCAUAAAUUGCAGAAAGCAUUAGCAAGAAUUAGGAAAGUGUUAGAAUAUAUAGCAGAUGCAGGACAUGAUUUAGUGGGUUUUGCUGCCCAAACUAUUAAUGCUAUGACAGUGGCUUGAAGGUCACUAUGCUCAUGCCAUUGGGAUGCUGACCAAAAAUCUAGAAACAGUCUAGCUUAGGUGCCUUUAGAGACUAGUUGCUCUUUUGGCUCAAAACACCCGAGAAGGUGUUAGUGGAAAGUGCUCAUAAUAAUUGUAAAAAGGUGUCCCUUCUAUAAAGUGGCAAAAGCAAGGUUUGCUUUUCAGAUUGGGCGGGGGGGG